AUACAAAAGAAAGUUAAAAGUUAAAUAAAUAUAGAAUUAAAGAAGAUGUCACUGUUCACUGCCUUGAUUUCAUCAUCACCUCUUAUAUAGUUCUAGACGAGGCCUCAUGGGGGAGCUGCUCUCUCACUGUAGAUAUGCCAGAUCUGUCGUCUCUAACAAGGACUGACCUUUAUGGAUUGGAAUGAAACAUGACUUUUGCUUCAGAGACAAAGAUUGAUCUGCCAUUCAAUCGCUUAGAAAUUUCUAUGAAUCACGUUGGUGCAGCUCGAAGACAGUGAAGAUUGCUGCUCUUAUCGAUGACCCAAAGCAUCAAAGAGCCUCACAGUACCCACUGGAUCCUACAGAAGAAACAACAGGUUAGCCUAAAUUGAGCCUUAACUUUAAGCAUGUCACUUCUCUGGGCCAAUCUAUGUUUUCUAUAUGAUUUACCCAUUUAAAUAGAACCUUUCAUAAGAUUGCAGACUACCUGGCUUGUGCCCUUCUAUUUCUCAUUGGCAAAACUGAAAUCUAGGAAGGGAAAUGAGUUUUUCUAGGGUUAACCAGUUGGAUAGCUGUGUUUAUGGAGCAUGAAGGACAUACUUUCUGGGACACCAUCAAGAUAGCCUUAUUGAGUGAUCUGACUUAGUUCUGUUUCAAGUAGUACAUGUCUGUGAAGACAAACUGUUCAUGGAAUAUUAAGUUAGCAUAGUUAUAUACUAAUAUUUAGUUUCUUGUCAUCCUAAGUUAUUUGAAUCUCUGAGCCAACACAGAUUGU
rnacentral:lncRNA from 1 species